rnacentral:misc_RNA from 1 species
GUCUACCCACCUCGCC